GUCCCUGAAACAGAACAAAGAAAGAAAGAUAGAGCUGGGAGCUGUGCCCUGAAGAUUAAAGCAAACUUCAUGUGCUUGGAUUGAGAAUGUGGAGACACUGUGGAUGUCUGUACCAGCUCUGUGUGAUUCCCGGUGAGUCUGACUGAGGGAGAUAUUGAAACUCCAGCGUGUUCCCUGGAUGAAGACAAGUGUUGUCUGUGUGCCUGCUACGUGGGAGCAACUACUCUGUCCAACAGGAGAGUUUUUGAAUUAUCUGCCCUGUUCGUCUGACACUUUCCAGC